GGGUCGUUAGCUCAGUUGGUAGAGCAGUUGACUUUUAAUCAAUUGGUCGCAGGUUCGAAUCCUGCACGA
rnacentral:tRNA from 27 species